GACCGGAAGUGACGUCUAUGCUUGGCUGGCCGCGGUGUCCGCCGAAGCUCUCGGCAGCGGCUGAGGCGACUGAGUGGAAAAUGGCUCGGAUUUUUGCGGCUGUGGCGCCUUGGGUUGUGGUGGAGGCAGAGGCUCAGGCAGCGUGAGCACCUAGAACAGUGCCUGGUGUUGAACAUACACCUGCUGCUACUGCUGCUGCUGCUAAGUCGCUUCAGUCGUGUCCGACUCUGUGUGACCCCAUAGACGGCAGCCCACCAGGCUCCCCUAUCCCUGGGAUUCUCCAGGCAAGAACACUGGAGUGGGUUGCCAUUUCCUUCUCCAGUGCAUGAAAGUGAAAAGUGAAAGUGAAGUCGCUCAGUCAUGUCCGACCCUCAGCGACCGCAUGGACUGCAGCCUACCAGGCUCCUCCAUCCAUGGGAUUUUCCAGGCAAGAGUACUGGAGUGGGGUGCCAUUGCGUUCUCCUAACAUACACCUAGUGAAUAUUUAUUGAAAAGAUGAAUAAAUUCAGUGGUGCUUGAAUGACAAAUAAAAGUUAUUUUUUUAAAAUACGUAUUUGAAUAUUCUCUCAUGACUUCUAGGUUUUUUAAUCAUAUUA
ensembl:lncRNA